rnacentral:lncRNA from 1 species
CACACUCUUCGGUUUCCGCAUUUAUGAGAUUUACUGGGAUUGUACUCUGAUAUUUUGAUGGGAUGUACGGUUUGGCUUUUGAGAACAUGGUUGCAAUGUGUUAUGGUGUGAACAAACAAUGUUUCUUUUUAUUUAGACAAUGUUUUUAUUUAUUAAUGUUUUCUAAAGUAAUAUCAAAAAAAAAAAAAAAUUUUGGGUCGUUACAAGUUGGUAUCAGAGCCCUGGUUUGAGGGAUUCGGACACGCCUUCGGGAGUGUUUGGACUCAAACCGAGGGAUUGAAAGAUUUUUCCAAAAGAAAUUAUUCUUUAAAACCCGGAAAAGAGUCACGAGAAAGAGUAAAGUGUGUGACGUGCGCGACCGGCCGAGCUCAAGUAAGUAUUCCCCAUAGUACCCAUACAAGUUUAUGUUAUGUUUAUCAGCUUUAUGAAUAUUGCAUGCUAGAAUAGGCUAAGGAUCUAGGAGUGAUGCCUUAUGUGCCUGUUUAUUUGUUCCAGCUUAUUGAAUAUUGCAUGCUAGAAUUGAGUAGACAGCAGUAGGGUAGCCUGUUUAGGUUAUGCCUGAUAGUAUGAGCUUAGCAUCCUAUGUUAAGUGUCGUUUCUUGUUCUAAGAACAGUUUUGGCUUGAGUCUGUUUUUCCUUAUCCGAAUGCUGCUUGCUUCGUGCUUGGUGGGAUUCUGAGUAAUGGGAGUGAGCCACUAGGUAAACACGUCACACCACAUGUAAUCGGGGUUGAAUAAUCCCAAAGUGUUGGAACUGGCCCUAUUGCGCAGCUCUUGUUUGAGUCCAACCGUUGUAGGGACGGGCCUUUUACUUGAAGGAUGAUCUAAUCCUCAUCACAGGUGGUGGUGUUUAGGUGGUGGCUAACUGGCAUUAUGAGGAGACCUACAGCAGCUGAGGACCAGUUGUGUUGAACUUGAGUUCUCCCUAGGGCAAGCCUAGGGUGAGAAUAUCGGAGAGUAGCAGUAGUAGAGGGGAGUUGGUGGAGUCGAGGAAUUCCUCGGAGAAGGUACGGAUAGAUGUGGAAGGUAGUAUGGGCCCGUACUACUGAAAGCAGAGGAUCCGUACCCGAGCCGAGGAAGGCCAAGACGAGACCAAGGAACCUGUAAGUAGUUGAGAUCCCUCAGAAAGUAGCAGUACCACUAAUGAUUAUUAUUGAUGUUUUGCAGAAUGGUGGUACUUCGACCGAGACCGACAGAUGGCGGGUCAGGAGAGGGGUCAGGUUCGGGAUCUGGCACCGAGCCGAUUGAGGAGAGGCUACGUGAGUUCAUCACGUCGGAGAUCACUAGGGGCAUCCUUGAGUCGACCCCCAUCAUCUUUGGGUCGAUCAAGGAAGGGAUCGUGGAGAUGAUGGAGGAUCGCCUACGGGCAUUCAGGAGCGACUUGGCCUCUAGCCAGUCAGGAUCUCGCACACUGUCCUUCAAGGACUUCAGGAGCAGUGGUGCGCCGGAUUUCCAUGGGGUGAAGGACCCCAUUGUCGCCAGGCGGUGGAUUGCGGAUAUCGAGUCCGCCCAGUUGAUCAGCUUCUGCCCCGAGGGGUCGAAGGUGAGGUACGCAGCAGGGUGUUUACGGGACCGGGCCCGAGAUUGGUGGGAGUCAGUGGGUGACUCGAUGGGAGCCUCGGCUAUCGAGGCAAUGACCUGGUCGGACUUUGUGGCUAGGUUCAGGGCAGAGUUUGCGCCAGCGGUCGAGCUUCAGCAGCUGGCCAGGGAGUUCUUAGACAUGAGGCAGACGACAGAGACCGUGGCGGAGAUCACCGCCAAGUUUCGGGAGAGGGCUUUAUUGGUGCCCCAGUAUGCAGGUGACGAGGAUAUGAGGAGGACUCGUUACCAUGAUAUGCUACGAGCUGACAUUCGGGAGCAUGUUAGUUUUUCGGCUUGCCCUACCCUGGACUCCAUGAUUGCCAGGGCUAGGGAGAGAGAGAUAGAUUUGGAGCACAUCCGGAAACGGAAACUUGAGGAUGGUCAGUCAUCGGGGGCUUCGGGGAAGAAGCCCAAGGGAUCAGAUGGGAGGCCGAAAGGCCAGUCGGGACCGAGCCGCUGCAGGAGGUGCGGCAGGCCGCACGAGGGGGCGUGCAGGAUGGGAUCGUCAGGCUGCUACAAGUGCGGCAAGUUUGGGCAUAUCAGCAGGGAUUGCACUGCUCCUGCGACCGUUAUUCAGACAUCGGAGUUGCUGUGUUUCCACUGCAACCAGAGGGGCCACAAGAAGGCCAAUUGCCCCAUGUUGACAGCUUCAGCGCCAGUGAAGGCGCCAGCUCCAGCGACCCUGCGGAUCACGGAUGGCCGUCAGGGCAAGGCAGAGGCUCCAGUGGUGAGGAGUCGGGCAUUUCAGUUGACUGCCGAGGAGGCACGCGCCGCGCCCGAUGUGGUGACGGGUAUGAUUCCUUCCUUCUAUCUUUUAUUUUACGUUGUUAUGAUAUUGAUAUGUGCUCCGUGUGUAUACAUGUGUAUUAGGAUCGUUCCAUGUGAACGGCAUCCCGGUUCAGGUAUUGUUCGACUCGGGUGCAUCCCGAUCGUUCGUUUCUCUUGCUCUUAGCAAGAGAUUUCAUGAGACUUCAGGCGAGUUAGAUUGCCCGUUAGAGGUAGAGAUUGCCGAUGAUCGAUCGGUGCGAGCAUCGAUGGUGUUUCGAGAUUGUGUCCUGCGACUGUUUGAGGAGUGUUACCUGGUAGACUUGGUUCCCAUUCCAUUGCGUGGGAACAAGGUGAUUAUUGGUAUGGAUUGGUUGAGCCCUAAUGGGGCAGUGAUAGAUUGCGCACAGCAGCUAGUGCGAGUCAAGACCCCAAGCGGGGGAGAGUUAGUGAUUCAUGGAGAGCGGCCGCAGUGUGGACCCACUGUAUGUUCAGCAGCGAGGGCUAGGCGCUACCUUCAGCAGGGAUGCGCGGGUUAUGUCGCGUACGUGAUGGACACCCGGGAGGCGGGUAAGGCGACCGUGAGCGAGGUCCCGGUGGUUCGAGAUUUUGCUGAUGUUUUUCCGGAGGAACUACCUGGGAUACCUCCGGAGCGACAGGUGGAGUUCAGGAUUGACCUCGUUCCCGGUGCGGCUCCGAUAGCCAAAGCACCGUAUCGGUUGGCUCCUCCCGAGAUGCAGGAGUUGUCUACGCAGCUGCAGGAGCUGCUGGACAAGGGAUUUAUUCGGCCGAGCAGUUCGCCCUGGGGAGCCCCGAUUCUGUUUGUGAAGAAGAAGGAUGGGUCGCAUCGGAUGUGUAUAGAUUAUCGGGAGCUGAACAAGGUAACGGUGAAGAACCGUUACCCGCUUCCGAGGAUUGAUGACCUCUUUGACCAGCUUCAGGGCGCAUCUUGGUUCUCCAAGAUUGAUUUGCGUUCGGGUUAUCAUCAGAUGAGGGUCAGGGAGGAGGAUAUGCAGAAGACCGCGUUUCGGACGCGCUAUGGCCAUUACGAGUUUGUGGUGAUGCCGUUUGGGCUCACCAAUGCUCCUGCCGCGUUCAUGGACCUCAUGAACCGUGUAUGCAGACCGAUGCUGGACCGGUCUGUGAUAGUCUUUAUCGAUGAUAUCUUGGUUUAUUCCAAGACCCGGGAGGAACAUGAGGAGCAUUUGAGAGAGGUGUUAGAGACCCUGAGGAGGGAGAGCUUGUAUGCCAAGUUCUCCAAGUGUGAGUUUUGGUUGCGCGAGGUGCAAUUUCUGGGGCACCUCGUCAACCAGAACGGGAUUCUGGUCGAUCCGGCCAAGGUCGAGGCCGUGAUGAGAUGGGAGGUUCCGAAGUCCCCAUCUGAGAUUCGGAGCUUCCUAGGAUUGGCAGGCUACUAUCGGAGAUUUAUCCAGGAUUUCUCCAAGAUAGCCGUGCCCCUGACGCGGCUGACGAAGAAAGCCGUGGUCUUUCGGUGGGGACCCGAGCAGCAGGCUGCAUUUGAGACGCUGAGACAGAGAUUGUGUGAGGCGCCGAUCUUAGCCCUGCCAGAGGGCGUAGAGGAUUUCGUGGUUUAUUGCGAUGCGUCCAUUUCUGGGUUGGGCGCGGUGCUGAUGCAAAGGGGGCAUGUCAUUGCUUACGCUUCGAGGCAGCUCAAGCCUCACGAGGCGAACUACCCGACGCACGAUUUGGAGUUGGGGGCGGUGGUAUUUGCCCUCAAGAUUUGGCGACAUUACCUCUAUGGGGUUCGGUGUACCAUCUACACGGACCACAAGAGCUUGAGGUACCUCAUGGACCAGCCGAAUCUGAACAUGAGGCAGCGUCGGUGGUUGGAUGUGGUGAAGGAUUAUGAUUGCGAGAUCCUUUACCACCCGGGAAAGGCCAAUGUGGUGGCCGAUGCGCUUAGCCGCAAGACGGCGCCGAUCAGGGACGCCUGUUUGAGGAUGACUGUGGUGACUCCCCUGUUGGAGCAGAUUCGGGAAGCUCAACAGGAGGCUAUCAAGGAGGAGCAUCGGAAGAACGAGCGCGUAGUAGGUCAGGUUUCCUCCUUCGAUUAUGAUAGCCGAGGGUUAUUGACACUACACCAUAGGGUGUGGGUGCCGUAUCACGGGGGCGUGCGCCAGAUUUUGAUGGAGGAGGCGCACAAGUCCCGAUUCUCUAUUCAUCCCGGGGCGACGAAGAUGUAUAGGGAUCUUCGUCUAGACUAUUGGUGGCCCUGCAUGAAGCGGGAUGUGGCAUGGUACGUCGAGCGGUGCUUGACCUGCAGGAAGGUCAAGGCCGAACAUCAGAGGCCGCAUGGCAAGAUGCAGCCGUUGGACAUUCCACUGUGGAAGUGGGAAGAUAUCACGAUGGAUUUUAUCACGAAGCUUCCCAGGACCGCGCGUGGAGUGGAUUCGAUUUGGGUCAUCGUGGAUAGAUUGACCAAGAGUGCUCACUUUAUUCCGAUUCCGGAGAGCAUAUCGGCCGAGAAAUUGGCCGACAUCUAUAUCAGGGAGAUUGUGGCACGGCAUGGGGUGCCAGUAUCGGUGAUCUCGGACAGGGAUGUGCGUUUUACUUCCAGGUUUUGGAAGAGAUUCCAUGACGAGUUGGGCACUCGUCUGCAUUUCAGCACCGCCUUUCACCCGCAGACAGAUGGACAGAGUGAGCGGACCAUCCAGACUUUGGAGGACAUGUUGCGGGCGUGUGUUCUGGAUUUCGGUGGUAGCUGGGAUACCUAUCUUCCUUUGGCUGAGUUCUCCUACAACAACAGCUAUCACGCGAGUAUCGACCGCCCUCCCUUCGAGAUGUUGUACGGACGGAGGUGUAGGACCCCGAUAUGCUGGGGUGAGGUUGGCCAGAGAGUUAUGGGAAGCACCGAAGUGGUGCUCAAGACGACUGAGAGGAUACAGCAGGUCCGGAGCAGGCUUCAGACUGCUCAGAGUCGACAGAAAAGUUAUGCCGACAAGCGUCGAUCCGAUUUAGAGUUCCAGGUCGGGGAUAUGGUCCUCCUGAAGGUGUCACCGUGGAAAGGCGUCAUCCGAUUCAGGAAGCGGGGCAAGUUGGGCCCGCGAUUCAUCGGACCGUUCAGGGUCUUAGCCCGGGUGGGCAAGGUAGCAUAUAGGCUGGAUCUGCCAGCCGAGCUUAGCCAGAUCCACAGCACUUUCCAUGUUUCGCAGUUGCGGAAGUGCCUAGUGGACGAUUCUGCAGUAGUACCUUUGGAGGAUAUUCAGGUUGAUGACAGCCUGAACUACAUCGAGCGCCCAGUCGCAAUCCUCGACAGGAAGUCGAAGGAUUUAAGGAACAAGAGGGUGGAGCUAGUGAAGGUGCAAUGGCAGCACCGCAAGGGUUCAGAGUGGACUUGGGAGCCGGUAGACGAGAUGAUGGAGCACUACCCCGAGCUGUUUCAGGAUCAGGCAGCAGACUUCGAGGACGAAGUCUAAAAUAAGUGGGGGAGAUUUGUAGCACCUGGUUUCCGGUAUGUGAAUUUUAUUUGAGCAUUGCCCUAAUUUAGCCUUAGACUCGGCGAGUCAUAGGGUCCGACUCGCCGAGUAGGGACGAGACUCAGGACGCGUUUUAAGUAGGCGACUCGACGAGUCCAUAUCCUGGACUCGGCGAGUCACCGCUGCGGGAUGAAACCCUAAGUUUCAAGGGUUUGCACCCUAUUUAAACCCUCAUUCCGCCCCAACUCGUCCCCAUUCACCCCCAGAACUCCCCCUACAUCGUUUUCCCUUGUUUCCUUGAGAGUUUGAGGUGUUCUUGGUGUGUUCUUGAAGGUUUUGAAGAGUAAGAGGAGUAGAUCAAGAAGAGGAGAAGGAGAUCAGCCAUCCUUGUGUCAUUUCAACAUUUCCUUUGAGGUAUAACCCGUUUUCCCCUUGAUUCUAUGCUUAAAACUUCAUUUGGGUCCUUCUUGGUCAAUUCCCCAAGUUUGCAUGUUCAUUAUAUGUUGUAAUAAGGCGUUUGGCCUUUGGAUCUAUGUAAGAUUGAGCUCCAGGAGCUCAGAUCUGUUAGCUUUUUGGCCUCAUGAGGCUUGUUAGCCCUAGAUCUACCAUUUUGAGACAUUUUGAGCCUUAUAAUCCAUAUUGGUGAAUAUCCACACGUAAAGUUGGAAACUUUACGUGUGAUUCGUGUCCUAGAAGUCCAGAUCUAUGAAUGGCAUGGUCUGGAACCGAGCAAAUCGGUAUAUUUAAGGAGUGCAUGGCGACGACUCGGCGAGUCGCAUAGGUGACUCGGCGAGUCUGGUCGCGAGUCACCGAAUUGGUCCCUUCUUCAUGUGUCGAGUUGAGCCUUGAGUCACAGGGGGUGACUCGGUGAGUUGGGAGCUGAACUCACCCAUGUUAGGACUCGGCGAGUCAAUGCCCUGACUCGGCGAGUCCAAGGCAAUCUUCAUAGCUCAAGAACAGACUCGGCGAGUUGUUCAUACAACUCGGCGAGUCUUAGCAUAAAGUGUUCAUCGGAUGAAGAUGAACUCGACGAGUUGUUCAUACAACUCGGCGAGUAGGAUGAAGGUGUUGAAUGGCAGUUAGAAGGUGAACUCGUCGAGUCAUAGCCCGACUCGACGAGUAGAACCAGGGACCCAGGACAUUGGUUUGCUAGGGACUCGGCGAGUGGUGAUCCACUCGGCGAGUCGGGUCAACUGAAAGUUGACUCCAGCUUUGGCUUAGAGUUAAUCCAGGGGUAAAAUGGUCAUUUUACCUAAAGGACAGUUAGCAGUGUUUGAUUGAGUAUGUCGUGGAAAUUGCAGCCGGAGGACUCCCGGAGCAGCAGCAGUCAGUUAGUUCCCGAUCAGUUCAGCAGCUACUUUGAGGUGAGUUACCUUCCAGUAGCGGUGGGUCUAAGGCCACAAUGCCGACCCACCAGUAGGAGUUGUAUGAUAGAUGAUUGUCUUUGUGAUAUCAUCUAAGUUCGCUAGUACCUGACAUGUUAUAUGCUAGCAUGAUAUGCUGUAUGUGAUAGUAGUAGAGUUUGGUUGUUCGGACCGAAGGGUAGUCAGACACCCCAGAUACGUCUGACAGUAUGUGACGAUAUGUAUGCAUGCUGGCUUGUUAUGUUAUAUGUGAUCGUAGUAGUAGGGGUGAAAUAGUCCCCGAGGAUCGGUUGUUAGGACCGAUGGGUAGUCAGCACCCCAGAAUGGCUUGACACGGGUAAGACGGCACCCCAGAAUGGCCGUAUGGGUAGGUCGGCACCCCAGAAUGGCCGUACCGGGUAGUCAGGCACCCCAGAAUAGCCUGGCAGUAUAUAUGUUAUGUGUUUGUAUGGUAUGCGGUACGUUGGGGGAACUCACUAAGCUUUGUGCUUACGUUUACAGUUUUGUUUUCAGGUACCUCUGCAUCGAAGGGGAAGGAGCCGGCGCGGUAGCGGCACGUCAUACACACACUCUUCGGUUUCCGCAUUUAUGAGAUUUACUGGGAUUGUACUCUGAUAUUUGAUGGGAUGUACGGUUUGGCUUUUGAGAACAUGGUUGCAAUGUGUUAUGGUGUGAACAAACAAUGUUUCUUUUUAUUUAGACAAUGUUUUUAUUUAUUAAUGUUUUCUAAAGUAAUAUCAAAAAAAAAAAAAAUUUUGGGUCGUUACAAGUUGGUAUCAGAGCCCUGGUUUGAGGGAUUCGGACACGCCUUCGGGAGUGUUUGGACUCAAACCGAGGGAUUGAAAGAUUUUUCCAAAAGAAAUUAUUCUUUAAAACCCGGAAAAGAGUCACGAGAAAGAGUAAAGUGUGUGACGUGCGCGACCGGCCGAGCUCAAGUAAGUAUUCCCCAUAGUACCCAUACAAGUUUAUGUUAUGUUUAUCAGCUUUAUGAAUAUUGCAUGCUAGAAUAGGCUAAGGAUCUAGGAGUGAUGCCUUAUGUGCCUGUUUAUUUGUUACAGCUUAUUGAAUAUUGCAUGCUAGAAUUGAGUAGACAGCAGUAGGGUAGCCUGUUUAGGUUAUGCCUGAUAGUAUGAGCUUAGCAUCCUAUGUUAAGUGUCGUUUCUUGUUCUAAGAACAGUUUUGGCUUGAGUCUGUUUUUCCUUAUCCGAAUGCUGCUUGCUUCGUGCUCGGUGGGAUUCUGAGUAAUGGGAGUGAGCCACUAGGUAAACACGUCACACCACAUGUAAUCGGGGUUGAAUAAUCCCAAAGUGUUGGAACUGGCCCUAUUGCGCAGCUCUUGUUUGAGUCCAACCGUUGUAGGGACGGGCCUUUUACUUGAAGGAUGAUCUAAUCCUCAUCACAGGUGGUGGUGUUUAGGUGGUGGCUAACUGGCAUUAUGAGGAGACCUACAGCAGCUGAGGACCAGUUGUGUUGAACUUGAGUUCUCCCUAGGGCAAGCCUAGGGUGAGAAUAUCGGAGAGUAGCAGUAGUAGAGGGGAGUUGGUGGAGUCGAGGAAUUCCUCGGAGAAGGUACGGAUAGAUGUGGAAGGUAGUAUGGGCCCGUACUACUGAAAGCAGAGGAUCCGUACCCGAGCCGAGGAAGGCCAA